GCUUAUCACCAUUCCAGAUUGAAUAUACCCGAUCUCGUCUGAUCUCGGAAGUCAAGCAAUCUCGGGCUUGGUUAGUAC
rfam:Ciona savignyi cont_37061, whole genome shotgun sequence.